GGGGAGAUUGUGUGCUGGGGUCCUGGGAGUGCGCAGGGCCUGGAUGGGAGGAGAGGAGCCAACCUGAGCCACACUGAGAAGCCACGGGGCUGGGCGGACAGAGGGCAAGGCCAGAGCAGGCCUGCAGCCAGGGGUCCCCAGAGGAAGGCAGAGGAAGGAGAGGCCUGCCCCUGCCUCGUGGGGGACCCAUCUCAAAGCCUGAUGGGAAGUGCGGCAUUCUGGAUGAAUCCCAGUCCUGUGGGGCCACGGAGCCCUGCGUGCUGUGGGCUGAGGGAGCAGGCAGUUCUUCCGGGGGCAGUUGGGCUCACCUUUGAAGGCUGCAAGCUUUUCUGGCAGGUUCUCUUCAUCGCUGUACUUCUGGUCACAGAGGAACUCCUACAGAGAUGUCAUUUUUCCCACUAAACGAUGUCUGGCGAAGGAGAGCUCACCCACCCUACGGUCUAUUGUGAACCCGGCAGACAGAGAUGACAGCACCUAAGUGGCCUCUGCGGGACCUCCUGCAGCUCGGAUCCCUAUGCUCACCCCAGUGUGCUGACGGGAGAGGACAGCCACCCGCAUGUGGCUCCCCAGCCACUCACGCUCUGAUUCCACAGGCCGGAGCUCAACCAGAGGGGUUACACAAGAUGUCUAGCCCACGUAGCACCGAGGCAGUAUGGGAGGGAUGCUCGGCCCAGUCCCAGGACCCAGCUGGCUCCUGGCAGCUCCCACCUAGCUGGAGAUGGAGCCUUCUCCCUAAGGAGCCAGGACUGUCCCCUUCCUGCUGGCUGCAUGGAGAGUGGUUUUUCCUCCAGGCCCCCUCUCAUAGCUCUUUGCCAAGCUCCCCCAUUACCAUACCAAAAGUGGGACAACUCACUCUUGUUGGUGACCCCAGCAAACGAAGUAACUCUCAGGGUCCUGAUCCCUCAUCUGCCCACGUAGGGACAGGUUAGGUCAGUGGCUUUUAGACUCCGGGGUAAUGAAGACGAACGGCAUUAAAAAGGGGGAGAGACCCUAAUUAGGUCUGCCAACUCUCUCCUUUGCCAAGUAAAGGCCUCUUAAACAAUGGCCACGGACAGUUACCAUGAGUACAGCAGCCAAUCAGUUCUGAAUUGUAACAUGGCGACUGCUUAAGCCUCUUCUAA